rnacentral:rRNA from 1 species
GUGAGUCAUCGAGUCUUUGAACGCACCUUGCGCUCUCUGGUAUUCCGGAGAGCAUGCCUGUUUGAGUGUCAUGAACUCUUCAAUCCACCGGUUUCUUGUUAAAUCGGAUGGUGUUUGGAUUUUGAGUGUUGCUGGUCUUCGGACGUAGCUCAUUCGUAAUACAUUAGCAUCUCAAUUUCGAACUUCGGAUUGACUCAGCGUUGAUAGACUAUUCGCUGAGGACACCUUUGGGUGGCCGAAUGAGAAGACAGUAGAAGCUCCUAACAGAUCUUAGUCAAUUUAAAAUUUAGAUCCUCAGAUCAGGCAGGAUUACCCGCUGAACUUAAGCAUAUCAAUAAGCGGAGGU